ACAACAUUGUACCACAAAUAAUGUCUCAAGAAACUUGUUCCAGACAUCUAGCCAACAGAUUAUUGAAAAUGUGGCAAGCCAAACAUUCUACUCAACAAUCUCGCAGUACUACAAUUUGGAAACCUGUGAAGUGUCCUCGACAACUAGGUUCU